rnacentral:tRNA from 1 species
GAGGGUAUAGCUCAGUGGCAGAGUGUGUGCUUAGCAGGCACAAGGUCCUGGGUUCAAUCCCCAGUGCCUCCA